AAUCAACGCUGGCGGCGUGCCUAACACAUGCAAGUCGAACGCGAGAGGGGCUUCGGCCCUGAUUGAGUGGCAAACGGGUGAGUAACGCGUGGGUGACCUACCUUCGAGUGGGGGAUAACGUUUCGAAAGGAACGCUAAUACCGCAUGACAUCCUGCCUUUGGACAGGCGGAGAUCAAAGCCGGGGAUCGCAAGACCUGGCGCUUGGAGAGGGGCCCGCGUCCGAUUAGCAGUUGGUGGGGUAACGGCUCACCAAGGCUUCGAUCGGUAGCCGGCCUGAGAGGGCGGACGGCCACACUGGGACUGAGACACGGCCCAGACUCCUACGGGAGGCAGCAGUGGGGAAUUGUUCGCAAUGGGCGCAAGCCUGACGACGCAACGCCGCGUGGAGGAUGAAGGUCUUCGGAUUGUAAACUCCUGUUGAUCGGGACG
rnacentral:rRNA from 1 species